UUUUUGCAAAUAAAGUUUUAUUGGAAUAUAUCCAUAAUCCUUCUUUCAGAUAUUGUUUGUGGCUAUUUCCCUUUUAAACAGCAGAGUUGGGAGUUACGACAGAGACAAUACGGCCUGCAAAGCCUGAUUCUGCCAAAUAACUAGACUAGAUUUCCCAUACAGGGAGCAUAGCCUAGAUUUUUUUUCUUUUUUCUUUUUUUUUUGAGACAGAAUCUCACUGAUAACGCAGGCUGGAGUACAGUGGUGGGUUCUCAGCUCACUGCAACCUCCACCUCCUGGACUCAAGUGAUCUCCCAACCUCAGCCUGCCAAGUAGCUGGGACCACGAGCAUAUGGCAACAUGCACAACUAGCUUUUGUAUUUUUUUUUAAAGACGGAAUUUUUUUUUUUUUUUUUUUGAGACAGCGUCUAGCUCUGUUGCCCAGGCUGGAGUACAAAAAAAAUAAAGUUUUAAAAAGGCAGUGUCAUUUGAUGGAGUUGCUUUCUUGAUCGUUGGCUGCAAUUAAAGACCUACCCUCACUGGCUUUUGUGUUGCCUUGGACGGGCUCUUAGGUUCUCCCGCCCUAUCAGGCAGUAGAGGCUGGCCUCGAGUGGUAGUCCUCCAUCUUGCCCUCUCUUCCUACCCUCUACCCCCCACCCCCUGGCUGCUCUCCUCUCUCCUUCCAACACUAUUCUCUUUGGGAAUAUGCAUGUCCAACUUCCCAAGCAGUCUGGGAUCUGGAGUAAGACGACUCUUGGUUUAAUGGAGUUUUUCCACAGCGCUUGAAUGUGCCCCAAGGGUUUGGAAGGUUGGAGAACUAACAAAAAGCAAAGCGCCAUCCUGUGUCGUUUUGGCAGGUCUGUGUUCUGGUAAUAUAUGGAAGAAUUUAGAGAAGAACGAAGAAAUAAGGACAGAAACUCCACUUGGGAGUACUUGUUUAACCCUGAAAAAGUUCAAGGCUGUUGUUCAAGGUCUGAAUUUUCCCCUUGAGAUUCGCUUGUAGUCCUUAAAGUCAUCUUCAGACAUCUGAUCAAGGCAGCAUCCGCGGAAAAUUAUAAGGUGGGUGGCUGCACCGGAGACUGUCCUGGCUCAGGGGAGCCGGUGAAGAGUGUGAUUUUUUCCCCUUGGCGCUGCGCGAUCAGAGUGGGUGCCCUCUGCUAUGCAGGAAGCCCUCCUUGCCCACUAGAUAGUUCUCAUUCCUCAGGAGAUAUUCUGUCAGGGGCCGGCGUGUUUCUCCGUCUUGGCACUUACCCUCAGACCCUCCUAAGUACCUGGGAGGGCCGUUUUUUUCAUCGGAGGUUGAAAUGGAACCUCUCCCUGGGUGCCCGGGGACAGUGCCUUGGGGGCAGCGCCCCUCCUUCCGGAGGGCAGCAUCCCGGCGGGGGCGGGGGCUCGGCUUUGAUCCCAGGGCACCUUUUGUCCCUGGAGACGCUCUGCUAGCCAGGUACGUGGAGUGCAGCCCGCCCUCCGGGGCGCCGCGCGGGCUGGGGUGGGCCGGCUGCUUCGGGGAGUGGCGGCCGCGAGUCCGCGAACGCAGGUGGGCGCCGUCGCCUCACUAACCGGGCGCCUCCGGGAAGUCCGGGUGGGGUCCGCCGCUCGCACAUAGGAUUAGCGUCUUCUAAACUCCAUCCCUGGGAAAAGCCGCCGCACUUCUCACCCAAACUCGCGGAGCCGAGGGGUUGGGCUGGGGUUGGGCGGGCGCGGGGGCCGGCGAGGCAGAUCCAAGAAUGGGUGGACCUGGGCGGUCAAGCCCCUCCAGCGCCGGCCCCACUGCCCCGGCCCGGGCAAGUCCAGCGGGGCGGGGACCGGUGACAAAGGCGGCGGCAGGUCCUCCAGGCCUCUGGCCUCCGGCAGUCGCAGGGCGCCCCGGCCGCCCGACCUCCCUCGCGUCGCGGCCAGUCCGCCGGCGCCGCCCGUCACCCGCCCUCAGCCGCCCGGCGAGGC
rnacentral:lncRNA from 1 species